UACAGAGGUCCCAAGCGUUGUUCGGAAUCACUGGGCGUAAAGGGCGCGUAGGCGGCGCGACAAGUCAGGCGUGAAAGCCCCGGGCUCAACCCGGGAAUUGCGCUUGAUACUGUCGUGCUUGAGGCCGGGAGAGGAUGGCGGAAUUCCCAGUGUAGAGGUGAAAUUCGUAGAUAUUGGGAAGAACACCGGUGGCGAAGGCGGCCAUCUGGACCGGUUCUGACGCUGAGGCGCGAAAGCGUGGGGAGCAAACAGG
rnacentral:rRNA from 1 species